rnacentral:rRNA from 1 species
CAGCAGCCGCGGGAAUACGAAGGGUGCAAGCGUUAAUCGGAAUUACUGGGCGUAAAGCGUGUGUAGGUGGUUGUUUAAGUCUGUCGUGAAAGCCCUGGGCUCAACCUGGGAAUUGCGAUGGAUACUGGGCGACUAGAGUGCGGUAGAGGAUAGUGGAAUUUCCGGUGUAGCAGUGAAAUGCGUAGAGAUCGGAAGGAACAUCUGUGGCGAAGGCGACUAUCUGGGCCAACACUGACACUGAGACACGAAAGCGUGGGGAGCAAACAGGAUUAGAUACCCCCGUAGUCCCUGUCUCUUAUAC